UACGUAGGGGACGAGCGUUGUCCGGAAUUACUGGGCGUAAAGGGCGCGCAGGCGGUAUAUCAAGUCAGCUGUCAAAGACUGGGGCUCAACCCUGGUAUGCGGUUGAAACUGAUAUGCUGGAGUGCUGUAGAGGCAAGUGGAAUUCCCAGUGUAGCGGUGAAAUGCGUAGAUAUUGGGAAGAACACCGGUGGCGAAGGCGACUUGCUGGGCAGCAACUGACGCUGAGGCGCGAAAGCCAGGGGAGCAAACGGGGAUUAGAUA
rnacentral:rRNA from 1 species